rnacentral:rRNA from 1 species
GUCUAUGGCCAUACCAUUCUGAACACACCUGAUCUUGGAAGCUAGGAAGAGUUGGCCUGGUUAGUACUUGGAUGGGAGAUCACUAUCUUUAGACAUUACAGGUU